GUCUGAAUGGUAUAGUGGUAUUACGCUAUCUUAGGGCCUGCAAACAGCAGCUGUUCCAAUGAUAGAGGUCCUGGGUUCAAUUCCCGGUUCGGACC